GACGAACGCUGGCGGCGCGCCUAACACAUGCAAGUCGAACGAGCGAGAGAGAGCUUGCUUUCUUGCUCGAGUGGCGAACGGGUGAGUAACGCGUGAGGAACCUGCCUCAAAGAUGGGGACAACAUUUGGAAACGACUGCUAAUACCGCAUAAGCCCACGGUGCCGCAUGUCACGGAGGGAAAAGGAGCAAUCCGCUAUGAGAUGGCCUCGCGUCCGAUUAGCUAGUUGGUGAGGUAACGGCCCACCAAGGAGACGAACGGUAGCCGGACGGAGGGGCGGAGCCGUCACAUUUGAACUGAGACACGGACCACAAUCGUACGGGAGGGAGCAGUGGGGAAUAUUGCACAAUGGGGGAAAACCCGAUGCAGCGGCGCGGGGUAGAGGAAGAAGGUCUUCGGAUUGUACACUCGUGUUGUUGGGGAAGAUAAUGACGGUACCCAACAAGGAAGUGACGGCUAACUACGUG
rnacentral:rRNA from 1 species